CUACAUCUCCAAAUCCUACACAUAUAUUCCUUCCAUUUCCUCCACCAUCUCGCUCUCUUCCACCGCAAAGAACGAAAUGGUCGAAACAAGAAACCUCUGCUCUACCCAUUCAUUUUUGGACACAUGUUGUAAUGACCCACCACUCCCACCAUCUCCACUUCUUUCUCCAACCCCACCACUUCCACCUUCUCUUCCACCAUCUCCACCUUCUUCCCCACCAUCUCCAACUUCUAUAAAACUUAAGAAAGAGAGAGAGAGAGAGAGAGAGAGAGAGAGAGAGAGAGAGAGAAGAAGAAGAAGAAGAGAGGAAGCUCACCUGAGCUCUUCGCCGGAUCCACCACACGCCAGGACGUCGUCAAGCUCGUCACCACCAUCAUCCGCAACCAAAGGUAAUCGAAAACCGCCAUGUUUUUGAGUUAAGUUUCGGCCGUUUUAGUAAAUCGACCAUAACUUUCUAACCAUGAUGAAUCUCGUGAAUCCAAGACUACCAUCGUGUUCCUCUCGUCGAGACGAAUCCGUGGCCACCAAAAACGCCUUAAUCGGAGUCCGGACGAAGCCGCACGCGCCUCCGGAAGUUUCGCCUUUGCGCGCGUGAGGUACACGCGCCGCCGCCGGAAAACGUCGCCACCGCCGGACCACCGUCCCCCGCCGCCGGAAUAUCCGCCGUCGCCGCCGUCGACCGUCGCCGGUAACUCGCCGGUGACUCGGUCAACUCGUCCGAGUCAACUUAGUGAGUCAACUCGGUUGACUCGGUUAACCACUGGUUUGACCGGUUUAAAUUGAUUUCGUUUCGGUUAGGGUAAACCGGUCGGUUUAGUCAAAUCGAUUUCUGGUCAAAGCUUGACCGGGUUGACUUUGACCAACGAGUUGACUUUUCCGUAAAUACCCGUUUUAAACCGUUCGAAAGGCGUUCUGACUCGAAAUUUCGAUCUGAUUUCAGAUUUGGAGUCCAUUUGAGCAGCUGGAGGUCAUAUAUACCACUUCUCUUCAUUGCUAAGGUGAGACCGACGAGCAGGAGUGAUUAUCGGACCGGUGCUAUUGGGCUUUUGGGCUUCUAUCGCUUUUAUCGCUUUUAUCUUUAUCGGGUCUUUAGGCCUUUGGACUUUUAUCGUUUAUGUUAUUCCUAUUUCAGACUUUCGGUUUAUGUCGUAUUUUAUAUUUCGGAUGUUAUCGUUAUCGGGCCUUUUGGCGUUAUGCUAUCGUAUUGACUUUUAUAUUAUGGUGGAAAUUAUUAUUAUUAUUUGAGUUGUAUUAUUAUUUUAUUUCCGCUUUAAUCUAUUUAUUAUAUUUCGAAAGUGACGGGUGUCACAUUUUGGUAUCAGAGCUAUUUAUUUAUCGUAACAUUUUAUUAUGUAAAUCGGGGUGUCACAUUUUGGUAUCAGAGCUAUUUAUUUAUCGUAACAUUUUAUUAUGUAAAUCGGGGUGUCACAAUUUGGUAUCAGAGCGGGUUCCGUCCCGGCUCCGACCCGGGAUGGCGAUUUUUGGAGACCUGGUUUUAUUCGGUUUUGACGGUUUUAGACGAUUUCAAAAUAUUUUUGGGGAUUUGGGAGUUUUGAAAAUGAAAACAAAUCGCACCUUUCCGUCCGGUAUCACUCCUUUCUAAUCCAAUUGUCUUUUUAUUGACUAUGAGUUACUCAUCGUCAUCCGCUCUCUAGCUAACAGGAUUUCGGCCAGAUGUUCGACAUAUGGAUGAUGAUGUCACAGUUGAACGGAUUGCUCAGGUGUGUAUCAGUUACGUCAACUUAUGACAUGAAUUCGGGGACGAAUUCCUUAUAAGUGGGGGAGAAUUGUAAUGACCCACCACUCCCACCAUCUCCACUUCUUUCUCCAACCCCACCACUUCCACCUUCUCUUCCACCAUCUCCACCUUCUUCCCCACCAUCUCCAACUUCUAUAAAACUUAAGAAAGAGAGAGAGAGAGAGAGAGAGAGAGAGAGAGAGAGAGAGAGAGAAGAAGAAGAAGAAGAGAGGAAGCUCACCUGAGCUCUUCGCCGGAUCCACCACACGCCAGGACGUCGUCAAGCUCGUCACCACCAUCAUCCGCAACCAAAGGUAAUCGAAAACCGCCAUGUUUUUGAGUUAAGUUUCGGCCGUUUUAGUAAAUCGACCAUAACUUUCUAACCAUGAUGAAUCUCGUGAAUCCAAGACUACCAUCGUGUUCCUCUCGUCGAGACGAAUCCGUGGCCACCAAAAACGCCUUAAUCGGAGUCCGGACGAAGCCGCACGCGCCUCCGGAAGUUUCGCCUUUGCGCGCGUGAGGUACACGCGCCGCCGCCGGAAAACGUCGCCACCGCCGGACCACCGUCCCCCGCCGCCGGAAUAUCCGCCGUCGCCGCCGUCGACCGUCGCCGGUAACUCGCCGGUGACUCGGUCAACUCGUCCGAGUCAACUUAGUGAGUCAACUCGGUUGACUCGGUUAACCACUGGUUUGACCGGUUUAAAUUGAUUUCGUUUCGGUUAGGGUAAACCGGUCGGUUUAGUCAAAUCGAUUUCUGGUCAAAGCUUGACCGGGUUGACUUUGACCAACGAGUUGACUUUUCCGUAAAUACCCGUUUUAAACCGUUCGAAAGGCGUUCUGACUCGAAAUUUCGAUCUGAUUUCAGAUUUGGAGUCCAUUUGAGCAGCUGGAGGUCAUAUAUACCACUUCUCUUCAUUGCUAAGGUGAGACCGACGAGCAGGAGUGAUUAUCGGACCGGUGCUAUUGGGCUUUUGGGCUUCUAUCGCUUUUAUCGCUUUUAUCUUUAUCGGGUCUUUAGGCCUUUGGACUUUUAUCGUUUAUGUUAUUCCUAUUUCAGACUUUCGGUUUAUGUCGUAUUUUAUAUUUCGGAUGUUAUCGUUAUCGGGCCUUUUGGCGUUAUGCUAUCGUAUUGACUUUUAUAUUAUGGUGGAAAUUAUUAUUAUUA